rnacentral:rRNA from 2 species
UACAGAGGCCUCGAGCGUUAGGCGGAAUCACUGGGCUUAAAGCGCGUGUAGGCGGAUCGUUAAGUGUCUUGUGAAAUCCCACGGCUCAACCGUGGAACUGCUGGGCAUACUGGCGAUCUUGGGCCACUCAGGGGCAACCGGAACAAGCGGUGGAGCGGUGAAAUGCGUAGAUAUCGCUUGGAACGCCAAAGGUGAAGACAGGUUGCUGGGGGUGUGCCGACGCUGAGACGCGAAAGCCAGGGGAGCAAACGGG